UUGCGACCCCAGGUCAGGCGGGAGCACCCGCUGAGUUUAAGCAUAUCAAUAAGCGGAGGAGAAGAAACUUACAAGGAUUCCCCUAGUAACGGCGAGCGAACCGGGAAUAGCCCAACUUGAGAAUCGGGCGA
rnacentral:rRNA from 1 species